rnacentral:rRNA from 1 species
GUCUACAGUCAUGCCUCCCUGAACAAGCCCGAUGUCUGAUCUCAGAAGCUAAGCAGGGUCGGGCCUGGUUAGUACUUGGAUGGGAGACCACCUAUGAAGACUAGGUGCUGUAGGCA